rnacentral:misc_RNA from 1 species
AUGCACCACCUGCAGAAUAAAUUAACAUGUCAUAUAAUGUUUCCUCUCUCAUAUAACCAAACUAUAACAGAGCAUCACUGCAAAAAUGCAAUAAUAAUAAUGAGUAAAUAAAUUUCUUCAUCCCAAGUGCUGCAUGCAAAAAAUGUAGAGUAACGAAAAGGAUCUAUCCUACUUGACUAAAGCUUCAUCCGAGUCUAGUUUUGUGUUAGCAGCAAAAAGGAUAAAUUGAAACAAAUUAACAUACUUGGUUGUCUUUCACCGUCAGG